rnacentral:rRNA from 1 species
UGGGGAAUAUUGCACAAUGGAGGGAACUCUGAUGCAGCGACGCCGCGUGAGUGAUGAAGGAAUUCGUUUCGUAAAACUCUGUUCUAUGGGAAGAAAAGGACUGUACCAUAGGAGAAAGCUCCGGCUAAAUACGUGCCAGCAGCCGCGGUAAUACGUAUGGAGCGAGCGUUGUCCGGAAUUAUUGGGCGUAAAGGGUGCGUAGGCUGUCUAUUAAGCGUGUUGUGAAAUAUACCGGCUCAACCGGUGGCUUGCAGCGCGAACUGGUCGACUUGAGUAUGCAGGAAGUAGGCGGAAUUCAUGGUGUAGCGGUGAAAUGCUUAGAUAUCAUGACGAACUCCGAUUGCGCAGGCAGCUUACUGUAGCAUAACUGACGCUGAUGCUCGAAAGUGCGGGUAUCAAACAGG